rnacentral:lncRNA from 1 species
GCAUGACAUAACAAUUCGCAUGCGAUGUUUUAUGUGUUGGUCGCAUACUCAGUUCGUAAACCUUAACGCAGUCUCAUGAGAGAAUAACAUGUUUGGCAGCACUCAGGGGGGGCUUCCGCAAACGAAAUCGCAUCAGGCGCAGCCCUACACCGCACAACGAUUCAUCAUACCAUCAACUAGAUGCCAGAAAGGUGGCGGGACAUGCCGCAUGCGAACGCGCACGCAAUUAGACCCCCGCCGUGAGAUGCGUCGGCGGCUGUGAGGCAGGUGGGGACAUGCCUGUGAGGCUGAAAGGGCUUCCGGACGCAUAAAUCGCACCAGGCGCCAUCGUACGCCGGACCAACGAUGCAUCAUAACAUUAACUAGUUGUUAGAAAGGGGGCAGGAAUAGGAGCAUCCAUACGCGCACGCAAUUAGAACCCCGACGUGAGAUGCGUCGGUGGCUGUGAGGCAGGUGGGACAUGCCUGUGAGGCUGAAAGGGCUUCCGGACGCAUAAAUCGCACCAGGCGCCGUCGUACGCCGGACAAACGUUGCAUCAUAACAUUAACUAGUUGUUAGAAAGGGGGCAGGAAUAGGAGCAUCCAUACGCGCACGCAAUUAGAACCCCGCCGUGAGAUGCGUCGGUGGCUGUGAGGCAGGUGGGACAUGCCUGUGAGGCUGAAAGGGCUUCCGGACGCAUAAAUCGCACCAGGCGCCGUCGUACGCCGGACCAACGAUGCAUCAUAACAGUAACUAGAUGUUAGAAAGGCGGCAGAAAUAGGAGCAUCCAUACGGUCACGCAAUUAGAACCCCGCCGUGAGAUGCGUCGGUGGCUGUGAGGCACGUGGGACAUGCCUGUGAGGCUGAAAGGGCUUCCGGACGCAUAAAUCGCACCAGGCGCCGUCGUACGCCGGACCACCGAUGCAUCAUAACAUAACUAGUUGUUAAAAAGGCGGCAUAAAUCGCACCAGGCGCCGUCGUACGCCGGACAAACGUUGCAUCAUAACAUUAACUAGUUGUAAGAAAUGCGGCAGGAAUAGGAGCAUCCAUACGCGCACGCAAUUAGAACCCCGCCGUGAGAUGCGUCGGUGGCUGUGAGGCAGGUGGGACAUGCCUGGGAGGCUGAAAGGGCUUCCGGACGCAUAAAUCGCACCAGGCGCCGUCGUACGCCGGACAAACGUUGCAUCAUAACAUUAACUAGUUGUAAGAAAGGCGGCAGGAAUAGGAGCAUCCAUACGGUCACGCAAUUACACCCCCGCCGUGAGAUGCGUCGGCGGCUGUGAGGCAGGUGGGACAUGCCUGUGAGGCUGAAAGGGCUUCCGGACGCAUAAAUCGCACCAGGCGCCGUCGUACGCCGGACCAACGAUGCAUCAUAACAGUAACUAG